GCACAUGCGCAGAAUCAUCGUGGUGCACGGCUCUCCCUUUGCUUCUUCGGUUGCAGUCCUCUUGCUUCUUGCGCGUGCGUGUAGCGCUUUUGCAAAGCCGCGGAGGUGAAGUGAACUUAGAGGUUGUGGGGCCGAGGGGUCGUCUUAUAGCUACCAGCCCACAGGCAUUUAGUCUACGUUGGAGGUAAACAAAUACGGGUCCUGCUUAGGAGAAAAGAAAAACGUCUUACAGCCAGUGUCUAAACUCCAAACAACGGAAUGUAUCAAUGAGACCUUGUAUAUGGAUACACGUGCAUUUAAAACCGCCCUGCCGGCUUGUAGAGCUUUUGCCGUUCUCCAGCGCUUUACAGGGGUUAUCGCACUUAAGCCUCGGAACAACUUUACCAGAUGAGGACACCUGAGGUUCAGAUUAAGAAAUCUGCCCCAAAGUCUUAGAACUGGUAUUCUCCACUGGUUGAAUGCAAAUGGAAGCCAGAGGAAAAGGGAACCCUUGACACAGUUUUCAUAUAGAUUGGCCUCCAGGGCAGACAGCAGGAGUGGGGUUUAAUCUGGACUGAAUUGGAGGAAAGGAACUGGCACCAGAGUGGAGGCUGGAAGGAUGGUGGAACUGACACUGGGACAGAACACAGAAAACAGAAUCUAAUGCUAUUGCUCUGGCUAUAUCAAAUAAAAGUGUCAAGAGUGAGCAUCCUUGCCUUGUGCUGAAUCACAAAGGAAUACCUUUCAGUUUUUCUCCAUUGAUUAUGAUAGCAGUGGGCUUUUCACAGUGGGCUUUACUGUGUUGAGAUGGAAAUUUGAAUGCUGGGGCUCAGUGGAACACCUGAAGGAAGCUGGUGAGGCAGAUGUCCCGCUAUGCCUUCCAAGUGUCAUGCAACCAGUUCAUGCCUGUCAGCAUCUCUGCCGGUGGACUCUGUGAGUCAGCAAAUCUACAGAGCAGAGAGCCACAAGUGGGGACAGAUGUGGUCAAAUGCCAUUUAAAUCAGUGAUUCUCAACCCAGGAGUUGUCAUGGCACUGGCCUUGAGUGAGCUGGACCAAGGGAAGUGGUAGAAUUCCCCAUGAAGGACCAAGUGAGCAGAUAGAAGUUUCUCCAUUUUAACUUUUUCUGAGUCAAUUUAAAAAACACCUAGUGCCUUUUUCUGU
rnacentral:lncRNA from 10 species